GGCGACCGGCGCACGGGUGAGUAACACGUAUCCAACCUGCCGUCUACUCUUGGACAGCCUUCUGAAAGGAAGAUUAAUACAAGAUGGCAUCAUGAGUCCACAUGUUCACAUGAUUAAAGGUAUUCCGGUAGACGAUGGGGAUGCGUUCCAUUAGAUAGUAGGCGGGGUAACGGCCCACCUAGUCUUCGAUGGAUAGGGGUUCUGAGAGGAAGGUCCCCCACAUUGGAACUGAGACACGGUCCAAACUCCUACGGGAGGCAGCAGUGAGGAAUAUUGGUCAAUGGGCGCAGGCCUGAACCAGCCAAGUAGCGUGAAGGAUGACUGCCCUAUGGGUUGUAAACUUCUUUUAUAAAGGAAUAAAGUCGGGUAUGUAUACCCGUUUGCAUGUACUUUAUGAAUAAGGAUCGGCUAACUCCGUGCCAGCAGCCGCGGUAAUACGGAGGAUCCGAGCGUUAUCCGGAUUUAUUGGGUUUAAAGGGAGCGUAGAUGGAUGUUUAAGUCAGUUGUGAAAGUUUGCGGCUCAACCGGUAAAAUUGCAGUUGAUACUGGAUAUCUUGAGUGCAGUUGAGGCAGGCGGAAUUCGUGGUGUAGCGGUGAAAUGCUUAGAUAUCACGAAGAACUCCGAUUGCGAAGGCAGCCUGCUAAGCUGCAACUGACAUUGAGGCUCGAAAGUGUGGGUAUCAAACAGGAUUAGAUACCCUGGUAGUCCACACGGUAAACGAUGAAUACUCGCUGUUUGCGAUAUACGGCAAGCGGCCAAGCGAAAGCGUUAAGUAUUCCACCUGGGGAGUACGCCGGCAACGGUGAAACUCAAAGGAAUUGACGGGGGCCCGCACAAGCGGAGGAACAUGUGGUUUAAUUCGAUGAUACGCGAGGAACCUUACCCGGGCUUAAAUUGCAGAUGAAUUACGGUGAAAGCCGUAAGCCGCAAGGCAUCUGUGAAGGUGCUGCAUGGUUGUCGUCAGCUCGUGCCGUGAGGUGUCGGCUUAAGUGCCAUAACGAGCGCAACCCUUGUUGUCAGUUACUAACAGGUUUCGCUGAGGACUCUGACAAGACUGCCAUCGUAAGAUGUGAGGAAGGUGGGGAUGACGUCAAAUCAGCACGGCCCUUACGUCCGGGGCUACACACGUGUUACAAUGGGGGGGUACAGAGGGCCGCUACCACGCGAGUGGAUGCCAAUCCCAAAAACCUCUCUCAGUUCGGACUGGAGUCUGCAACCCGACUCCACGAAGCUGGAUUCGCUAGUAAUCGCGCAUCAGCCACGGCGAAAUGAAUACGUUCUCGGGCCUUGUACACNCCGCCCGUCAAGCCAUGGGAGCCGGGGGUACCUGAAGU
rnacentral:rRNA from 1 species